ensembl:ncRNA F28A12.8 ncRNA
CUUCUCAAUUGCACGAUUUCGAUACUAUUUCACACCUUUAAUCGGCGCAUCAUCACCAACACCGUCAGCAGAAGAAGUGAGGUCUGCAAAAAGCGGCGCGCGCGCACCACACGAAUCGGUUUAAUCGGUGUGUCGAGAUAUCAUCAGAUCAUCAGGUGCAUGUCCAGACAGACCUAUUCCGCGCGGACUGACAGACGACGC